UUUCCGUAGGUGAACCUGCGGAAGGAUCAUUAAUGUAUCACCGAGGCUCGAGCGCUGCCGCUGAACCGAAUGUCUGCGCAAGCACGAUUGCCUCCACACACAUCCACCUCACCCCUACGUGCACCACCGCUACUGUCCCCCUUUUCCUUGCUCGGCGGGGGGCUUACGUUUUCACUCAAUCUUUGUAUGCGCUGUAGUCUGUAUUUUUUGUUUUUGCAAACGCACAAUCUAUACAACUUUCAACAAUGGAUCUCUUGGCUCUCACAACCACGAAGAACC
rnacentral:misc_RNA from 1 species